rnacentral:miRNA from 1 species
GUAGAUUUUCCUUCUAUGGUUA